CUUCCACUUUCCUCUUGUUUCACUGUUAAGCAGCUUGUUUUGUUAAGAAAUUAUUCCUAAAGCUAAGCCAAAAAAAAAAAAUACCCUUCUGGUCAUUUGAACCUAUUGAUUCAAGUUUUGCCAUCUAAAACUUGAGGUGAAGAACAAAGGAAACUGUCCUUCACCUUGAGAAAAUGAAGUUUUGUCUCAAGGGCUUAUCUUUGUGAAUUCUGGAAGCCGGACAAUUGCUUGGACACUUCUGCGUGCAAGUGUUUUUCAUCUACUGAUUCUGCUACAGCCAUGUACAAAAGAUGUGUCUCAGAAAAUGGCAGGCACAAAAAAAGUCUUCCCCAAAGAUCUCAGACUGAGGCUGGAGAAUAACCAAGACCCAAGUGAUAUAUCAUAAUCAUAAUUUUGAAAUAGAAUGAGACAUGCACUCUCUGUAACCAGCCUGAGCCAACCGUCUGUCACAUUUUAGACCAACUGAAUUUUUUAUAUUCUUUUCUGAGGCAGUUCCACAUAAAUGGUAUAGCAGUAGUCCAAGCAGGAUGUAUGAAAGGCAUGGUGAAAUAUGAGCAGAUCAGAUUUAUCCAGGAUUGGGCAUAGCUGGUACAUAAAUUGGUACAUCUUGACAUCUAUGUUCAGGGAUGAAUCUAGAAGUAUGUGUAAACUGUGAACCUGAAUCUUUGAAAUGGGGGGGGGGGGGAAUCUUAUCCAACAGUGGUUGAAUUCCUGUUACCUGAUCCACUCUUCAGUUGCUUCGAAGCACUUCUGGUUUCUUUGACUUCAAUAGGGCAAAAUAAAUAC